AACCACACCACUCUCUCCGCCAUCAAGACCCUUUUCCAAGUCAAGAACCUUCUCUUAAUUCUUGGCGCCAACAGCCUCCUCCACUACAUCUCAGUAAAUACCACAGUUGCGGCCAAGCAAACGAUCAAGAUUCAUUUCCCUUGCAUAUGCAAAAAUCACAUUGAAAUAUCCAACAGGCGCUCAAAUUACAAGGAGAUUCUCGACGAC
rnacentral:lncRNA from 1 species